rnacentral:rRNA from 1 species
UACGAAGGGGGCUAGCGUUGCUCGGAAUCACUGGGCGUAAAGCGCACGUAGGCGGCUUUCUAAGUCAGGGGUGAAAUCCUGGAGCUCAACUCCAGAACUGCCUUUGAUACUGGAGAGCUUGAGUCCGGGAGAGGUGAGUGGAACUCCGAGUGUAGAGGUGAAAUUCGUAGAUAUUACGGAAGAACACCAGUGGCGAAGGCG